rnacentral:rRNA from 1 species
CCUACGGGAGGCAGCAGUGGGGAAUUUUCCGCAAUGGGCGAAAGCCUGACGGAGCAACGCCGCGUGAGGGAUGAAGGCCUCUGGGCUGUAAACCUCUUUUAUCAAGGAAGAAGAUCUGACGGUACUUGAUGAAUAAGCCACGGCUAAUUCCGUGCCAGCAGCCGCGGUAAUACGGGAGUGGCAAGCGUUAUCCGGAAUUAUUGGGCGUAAAGCGUCCGCAGGCGGUCUUUUAAGUCUGUCGUCAAAGCGUGGAGCUUAACUCCAUUACUGCGAUGGAAACUGGAAGACUAGAGUGUGGUAGGGGCAGAGGGAAUUCCCGGUGUAGCGGUGAAAUGCGUAGAUAUCGGGAAGAACACCAGUGGCGAAGGCGCUCUGCUGGGCCAUAACUGACGCUCAUGGACGAAAGCCAGGGGAGCGAAAGGGAUUAGAUACCCCUGUAGUCCUGGCCGUAAACGAUGAACACUAGGUGUCGGGGGAAUCGACCCCCUCGGUGUCGUAGCCAACGCGUUAAGUGUUCCGCCUGGGGAGUACGCACGCAAGUGUGAAACUCAAAGGAAUUGACGG